ensembl:lncRNA
GUUUAUUUGGUUUGAUUUAUUUGAAUUUGAAUUAUUUUUUUCUUUUCUUUUCAAUUUGGGGCCAAAUUAUAGAUCCAAUUAUCCUAAUGCUAGUGAUUUUUCUACACUUGGUUAGUGGAACCAGCUCCGACCGCCUUUCUUCUUCUUCCUCUUCUCUUCUUUCUCCUCCUUCUUUUCUUCCUUUUCCAUCAUUUGCAGCUCUUUCUUCUCUUCUUUUUCUUGCUGCUUUUUCUUCUCCUCUUUUUCUUUCACUUUCUUCAUUUUCUUUUCUUUCUUUUGCAUUUUCUCCUCCUCUGUCUUCCUCUGGAACAAACUAAAGAAACCUCUUUUUUUAGUCUUUUGACUCAGAAGUUGAAGCUCCUGAUUUUCCUCCUCCAGGAUUUUUCUCUCUUCCUCCAUAAACUGUUUUUCCUCCAGCAGAUUAUUAUACUCCUCCUCCAGUACCUUUUUGCUGGUAUCUGCUUUUUCCUUCUGCUGCUGGAGUUCAGUACUGAAGGCCUCUAUCUUAUCAAUCUUCUUCUGGAGGAGUUUGUGCUUUGCCUCCAUGUGUUUAACAGACUCUUGGAGGUUUUGGUUUCUUAUCUCUGUUUUAUUACUUUGCUCCUGGAGGUCUUCGUUUGUUUUUUCUAAUUUUUUGAUCGUCUCUUGGAGACUUUUGUGUGUUGCCUCCAUUUCUUUACUACUCUCCUGAAGGCGUUGGUUGAUUACUUCCAAUUCUCUGUUACUUUCUUGGAGGAGCUGGUUCACUACCAUCAUUCCUUCAUUGGCAUGUUCGAGGCAUUUGUUUUUUUCUUCCAACUCUCUGUUACUCUCAUGAAGACAUUUAUUUCUUGUCUCCAUGUCUUUACUACUCUCCUGAAGACGUUGGUUCGUUUCCUCGAUAUCGUUGUAGGACUUUAGGAGGCGUCUGUAUGAUUCCUCCAUUUCUUCAUUGGUAUGUUCGAGGCAUUUGUUUUGUUCUUCCAACUCUCUGUUAUUCUCCUGAAGACAUUUAUUUGUUGUCUCCAUGUCUUUACUACUCUCCUGAAGGCGUUGGUUCGUUUCCUCGAUAUCGUUGUAGGACUUUAGGAGACGUCUGUAUGAUUCCUCCAUUUCUUCGUUGGAAUGUUCUAAGCAUUUGUUUUUUUCUUCCAACUCUCUGUUACUCUCAUGAAGACAUUUAUUUGGUGUCUCCAUGUCUUUACUACUCUCCUGAAGGCGUUGGUUCGUUUCCUCGAUAUCGUUGUAGGACUUUAGGAGACGUCUGUAUGAUUCCUCCAUUUUUUCAUUGGUAUGUUCGAGGCAUUUGUUUUUUUCUUCCAACUCUCUGUUAUUCUCAUGAAGACAUUUAUUUGGUGUCUCCAUGUCUUUACUACUCUCCUGAAGACGUUGGUUGGUUUCCUCGAUAUCGUUGUAAGACUUUAGGAGACGUCUGUAUGAUUCCUCUAUUUCUUCGUUGGUAUGUUCGAGGCAUUUGUUUUUUUCUUCCAACACUCUUUUAUUCUCCUGAAGACAUUUAUUUGUUGUCUCCAUGUCUUUCUUACUGUCCUGAAGGCAUUGGUUGGUUGCCUGGAUUUCUUUGUAGGCCAUUAGGAUGCGUUUGUUUACUACUGCCAUUUCGCUAUUACUCUCCAGGAGGCGUUUGUUGGUUACUUCCAACUCUUUCUUGCUGUCCUGAAGGCGUUUGUUGGUUGCCUCCAUUUCUCUGUAGGCCUGCAGAUGUUCCUCCUGACUCUUUAUCUUUCUGCUAUCGCUGUGGACUUGACUGAGCAGUUGAGAGUUUUCCUCUUGGAGCUCCCUCAUGUGUUUCUCCAUCUCCUCUAUUUUGUCCUCCAGCUUGAAGAUGCGGUCCUGGUAGGCACACAGCCAUUUUUCUUUUUCAGUGGGGCCACGCCUGUUAUUGUAGUGGCCACCACGGUGAGGAGGGUUUUCAAACCCACCACGGCCUCUUCCGCAGUUUCUUUGUGCCAUUUCACAGAGAAACAAAUAAAGUACACAAUCUAGAAACAACAGAACACUGAACGGAUUUUUGCUGCGUGCUGCAGAUCUUCUCUCUAGCUACUCGUGCGAAGUAAAUCUCUUACCAGUUG